GUGGAAAAAGUCCAUUUUCCGUGUAGGAGACCUCAAGCCCCCCAAAUCUUCGAUAUCAUCUCGUAAACCCUAGAAAUACACGAUCAAAAUCGAUUUCAUAUCUCCCGUAAAUCCUAGAAAUUCGUAAUCAAAAUCGCAAUGUUAGACCAAAUACCGUUGGAAAUCCAAUCGGAAAUAAUGAAAAGGCUCCCUGUGAAAUCGUUAAUUCAAUUCCGAUCGGUCUGCAAGUCAUGGAAUUCUCUGAUCGAGAGCCCUGAUUUCAUUGCACAUUACAGCAGCCAACAGCAACAUCUGCUUGUAAGUUAUACAGUUAACUAUGAGGCUAAAUAUGUUACAGUUGAUGAUGAUGAAAACAUAGUUUCCGUUACUCUUCCCCCGUUGGUUAACAAACUCAGAACCAUAGUUGGCAGCUCUCACGGCUUGUUGUGUUUCUUCGGUGAUGUUCAAGAGCUCACUGAAAUCGGCAGUGCGGUUAUUUGGAAUCCUUGUAUUAGAAAAGCAGUUCAUGUUGUUGUGCCUCGUGUCAAAUUAGAUAAAACAUAUAGAACACUUCUAGGGUUUGGGGUUUGUCCUGAGACUUUUGACCCUAAGAUUGUCAAGAUUACACAUCGUGUAGAUAUGGAAAGUGUAACUUUCAUCCCUUGGCAGGUUGAGGUGUUUACAUUAAACACACGAGCGUGGAGAAGUCCUUAUAGCAGUAAUCUCCCUCGUAAAUCGAUUUAUGUUGACUCGGAUCAGGUAGUUGUAGAUGGGUGUCUUUAUUGGCUUGCUACUGAUAGAAUUGCCUUGGAUGAUGGUACAUUUAGGUCUUAUAAUUUGAUUGUUUCAUUUGAUCUAAUAACUGAAGAAUUUAGAGAAGUAAACCUUCCGGGUAGACUAGCUGGCACUUCGUGUCGUUUUUCAAUGUAUAAGCUAGGAGAGUCAAUUGCGGUGCUUGAACUCGGUGUAGAGGCCAACAAACUAGUUUAUCGUGUAUGGAUGAUGGAGGACGGUGUUACAAAAUCGUUUUACAAUCUCUUUAGUUUUAAUAGCCACUCACGAGACCCAGACGUAUCAAUAAUUUGUGUAUGUGGAUUUAGGAAGACAGAUGAAGCUUUAAUUGAAUUAUAUGAUCGUCCUAGCUCUACUAGAAUACUUGCUGCUUAUGAUCCCUACUCUGAAACUAUUAAUGAUAUAUUGAUUUAUGGAAGACAUUCUUCAUAUUCUGUGUAUUACUGCAUGGAAACACUACUUCUGCUUUGAUCAACUGAUUUUUACUUUUGCUUUUGAAGCAUAAAAGCAAGGUGUGUGCAGGACAUGAUGUAGGCUAGGCCGAGUUCCGCGUAGGCUACAUCGGGUAAGGUUUCCCCGUUUAGUGGAGUUGAAGUAGAUCUCGGGUAAGAUCUAGCAAAGCUUUGGAGCAAUACCCGGAGAGGAUUAACAUCGUUUGGUUAAAGCUUUUGUUUAGUAUUGAUUGGGCCCAACUCAUAAUAUGAAGUUAAACCAACUCAUAGUCAUAUGUUCAGUGCACGUUGUUAAUGCUCUUUGGAAGUGUUUUAAAGUUUUGGGUGUAACAGAUGCACCUAGAGCAUAUGGUAUUUUGUUUGAUUAAAAAGGCAUUUGAAUGAAACAUAUGAAAAUACUAGAAUUUUCACUAUCAAGAUCACGUGUGUAUAGCCGUUGAUUUUUAUGUCUAGUGUUAAUGUGGUGAGGUUAACACCUUAAUCAUUUGAUGAAUGUGGUGAUUUUGUGGUUCAAAA